UUCCAGCCUAUAGCUAUGGCUGUGCAAGAGCCAGAGAUGGAACCAACCUCCUCCGUGCGUGUGCCAUCCCAGAAUACGCAGCUGGAGCUUUGGGUAUGGCCAAGAUGCCCCUCGUGAGAGUCAUUCGCGUGCCCAAGGAGGAAACCACAGGUCUGGCCAAAAACCAAGAUGAAGACCCACUAGAAGAUCCCAGUCUUCAUUUGAAUGUUGAAGUGUUAAACAAAGAAUUUAUGGCCAAAAGUGAAGAGCUCUACGAUCUCCUCAUCAACUGUCACUGGCAGCCUCUGGACUCGGUUGAGUCGAACAUCCCAGACAACAGCCUGGAGUAAAGUCAGGCAUUCAUUAAACUGCCCCAUGGUUGGAUUCUUUUUUUUUUUU